UACGUAGGGUGCAAGCGUUGUCCGGAAUUAUUGGGCGUAAAGAGCUCGUAGGCGGUCUGUUGCGUCGGCUGUGAAAACCCGAGGCUCAACCUCGGGCCUGCAGCCGAUACGGGCAGACUAGAGUUCGGCAGGGGAGACUGGAAUUCCUGGUGUAGCGGUUAAAUGCGCAGAUAUCAGGAGGAACACCGGUGGCGAAGGCGGGUCUCUGGGCCGAUACUGACGCUGAGGAGCGAAAGCGUGGGGAGCGAACAGG
rnacentral:rRNA from 1 species